rnacentral:ncRNA from 1 species
UAAAUUCUUCGGAAAUGGGAUUACCCUACCGGCGGUUACAGCCCGCGAGCGGAAUAUUCCGCAUAAUUCAGUUAAAUUCUGAAGCCGACAGUAAGUCUGGAUGGGAGAAGAAAAGC